rnacentral:rRNA from 1 species
UCUCUUUUUGAGAUAAAUCAUUCAAGUUUCUGCCCUAUCAGCUUUCGAUGGUAGUGUAUUGGACUACCAUGGCAGUAACGGGUAACGAAGAAUUAGGGUUCGAUUUCGGAGAGGGAGCAUGAGAAACGGCUACCACAUCUAAGGAAGGCAGCAGGCGCGUAAAUUACCCAAUCCUGACUCAGGGAGGUAGUGACAAGAAAUAGCAAACCGGGAACCUCAUGGUUUCACGGUAUUGCAAUGAGAACAAUUUAAAACCCUUAGCGAGAAUCAAGUGGAGGACAAGUCUGGUGCCAGCACCCGCGGUAAUUCCAGCUCCACUAGCGUAUAUUAAAGUUGUUGCAGUUAAAAAGCUCGUAGUUGAACCUCUGUCUGGGGCUAGUUUUGGCUUUGGUCAGGCUAGUUCUAGGCAUCCGCCUACAAGACUUAGAGGGCAUUCAGUUGUUCACUAGGAGGAGUAGGCAUUUUACUUUGAAAAAAUUAGAGUGUUUAAGGCAGGCAAUCGCCCGCAUAUAUUAGCAUGGAACAAUAGAAUAGGACACUUUUCCAUUUCGUUGGUUAUUGGAAUCGUGUAAUGAUUAAUAGGGACAGUUGUGGGCAUUUGUAUUUAAUUGUCAGAGGUGAAAUUCUUGGAUUUAUUAAAGACAAACUAACGCGAAAGCAUUUGCCAAGGAUGUUUUCAUUAAUCAAGAACGAAAGUUAGGGGAUCAAAGACGAUCAGAUACCGUCCUAGUCUUAACUAUAAACUAUUCUGACUCAAUGUUUGACUGGCUUAUAUAACCAGUUGAGCGUUGUAUGAGAAAUCAAAGUCUUUAGGUUCUGGGGGGAGUAUGGUUGCAAAGCUGAAACUUAAAGGAAUUGACGGAAGAGCACAACCAGGAGUGGAUUCUGCGGCUUAAUUUGACUCAACACGGGGAAACUUACCAGGUUAAAACAAUAGUGGGAUUGACAGUUUGAGAGCGCUUUCUUGAUUGGUUGGGUGGUGGUGCAUGGCCGUUCUUAGUUGGUGGAGUGAUUUGUCUGCUUAAUUGCGUUAACGAACGAGACCUUAACCUGCUUACUAGACUGGCGAUCAUCAAUCGUUAGCUCUUCUUAGAGGGACUUUGGUUGUUUUAACUCCAAGGAAGUUUGAGGCAAUAACAGGUCUGUGAUGCCCUUAGAUAUCCUGGGCCGCACGCGUCAUACAAUGACUAGUUCAGAAAGUUUUCUCCUGACCCGAAA